AGCAGAAUCACAGCUGAUGGAAAUGGGAUUUUGGAAGAUCUAUGGAACAUAAUUAUAAUAAACAUAAUAAACAUAUAUGCAGAGGCUGCUGUGAUCGUUCAGGUGGGAGGGGCUUAUUUCUGCUGCUGUCACUCUGUGUGUGUGUGUGUGUGUGUGUGUCCUGCUCCUUUGAACAUGUAUGUUGUGCUCUCAUGAAUGUGUAGUAGGGCUGCCCGAUAUAUCGUUUGAGCAUCGUCAUGGCGAUGUACGUGUGCACGAUAGUCACAUGACAGAACCUGCGAUGUUGGAGGUGAAUGAACUGACUGAGAUAAACUGUAUGUGACUCUGCAGCGAUCCACCAAUCACAUUCGCUCUUUACUCAGUAGCCAAUCAGACUACCCUGUCAGCUGUCAAUCAAAAUCAGAGAGGAUGAAACCACGCCCCUGCACAUGGAGUGCGUCCACUGAGAAUGACGUUGGGAACAUUCCUCAUCUCUGUUUAUCCCAAUAAAUCAGAACUCUACGGGUUUAAAUCGUACAUUUGGACCAAUCGACUAUCAGCGUUUCUGAGAGGUGGAUGAGAUUCUCGGCACAACAUCGUUAACAACAACAACGUCAACAACAACGUCAACAACAACGUUAACAACAACAACAACAACGUCAACAACAACAACAACGUCAACAACAACAACGUUAACAACAACAACAACGUCAACAACAACAACAACGUCAACAACAACAACAACGUCAACAACAACGUUAACAACAACAACGUUAACAAAAACGUUAACAACAACAACGUCAACAACAACGUUAACAACAACGUCAACAACAACGUCAACAACAUUAACAACAACAACGUCAACAACAACAACGUCAACAACAAUGUCAACAACAACGUCAACAACAACGUCAACAACAACGUCAACAUCGUUAACAACAACAUCAACAACAAUAACGUUAACAACAACGACGUCAACAACAUUAACAACAACGUCAACAACAACGUCAACAUCGUUAACAACAACAACAUCAACAACAAUAACGUUAACAACAACGACGUCAACAACAACGUUAACAACAACGUCAACAACAACGUCAACAACAACAUUAACAACAACAACGUCAACAACAACGUUAACAACAACAACGUCAACAACAACGUCAACAACAACAACGUCAACAACAACGUUAACAACAACAACAUUAACAACAACAACGUCAACAACAACGUCAACAACAACAACGUCAACAACAACGUUAACAACAACGUCAACAACAACGUUAACAACAACAACGUUAACAACAACAACGUUAACAACAACAACGUUAACAACAACGUCAACAACAACGUCAACAACAACGUCAACAACAACGUUAACAACAACAAUGUCAACAACAACGUCAACAACAAUGUUAACAACAACAACAUCAACAACAACAACGUCAACAACAACAA